GCAACGCCGCGUGAGGGAUGACGGCCUUCGGGUUGUAAACCUCUUUCAGCAGGGACGAAGCGAAAGUGACGGUACCUGCAGAAGAAGGACCGGCCAACUACGUGCCAGCAGCCGCGGUAAUACGUAGGGUCCGAGCGUUGUCCGGAAUUAUUGGGCGUAAAGGGCUCGUAGGCGGUUUGUCGCGUCGGGAGUGAAAACUCAGGGCUCAACCCUGAGCGUGCUUCCGAUACGGGCAGACUAGAGGUAUGCAGGGGAGAACGGAAUUCCUGGUGUAGCGGUGGAAUGCGCAGAUAUCAGGAGGAACACCGGUGGCGAAGGCGGUUCUCUGGGCAUUACCUGACGCUGAGGAGCGAAAGCAUGGGGAGCGAACAGGAUUAGAUACCCUGGUAGUCCAUGCCGUAAACGUUGGGCGCUAGGUGUGGGGACCUUCCACGGUCUCCGUGCCGCAGCUAACGCAUUAAGCGCCCCGCCUGGGGAGUACGGCCGCAAGGCUAAAACUCAAAGGAAUUGACGGGGGCCCGCACAAGCGGCGGAGCAUGCUGAUUAAUUCGAUGCAACGCGAAGAACCUUACCUGGGUUUGACAUAUACCGGAAAGCUGCAGAGAUGUAGCCCCCUUUUGGUC
rnacentral:rRNA from 1 species